rnacentral:tRNA from 1 species
GGAGUUUGGCGUAUGGGCAUUAGUAUUUGGCAGAUAUUGAUCAUCGCAGUUGUGGUGGUUCUGCUGUUCGGACGUGGCAAGAUUUCC